rnacentral:tRNA from 1 species
UAAAAGUUAGUUAAUGUAUAUAAUAUUAAAUUGUCAAUUUAAAGUAAUUUUAUUUAAAAUACUUUUAU